rnacentral:sRNA from 1 species
GCCGGGUGUGGUGGUGCAUACCUGUAAUCCCAGCAGCUAGGGAGGCUGAGGCAGGAGGAUUUCAAGUUCAAGGCCAGCCUCAGCAAGGCCCUAAGCACUCAGCUAAACUCUGCCUCUA